AUUGAACGCUGGCGGCAGGCUUAACACAUGCAAGUCGAGCGGGGAAGAGUAGCUUGCUACUUAACCUAGCGGCGGACGGGUGAGUAAUGCUUAGGAAUCUGCCUAUUAGUGGGGGACAACAUCUCGAAAGGGAUGCUAAUACCGCAUACGUCCUACGGGAGAAAGCAGGGGACCUUCGGGCCUUGCGCUAAUAGAUGAGCCUAAGUCGGAUUAGCUAGUUGGUGGGGUAAAGGCCUACCAAGGCGACGAUCUGUAGCGGGUCUGAGAGGAUGAUCCGCCACACUGGGACUGAGACACGGCCCAGACUCCUACGGGAGGCAGCAGUGGGGAAUAUUGGACAAUGGGGGGAACCCUGAUCCAGCCAUGCCGCGUGUGUGAAGAAGGCCUUUUGGUUGUAAAGCACUUUAAGCGAGGAGGAGGCUACCGAGAUUAAUACUCUUGGAUAGUGGACGUUACUCGCAGAAUUAGCACCGGCUAACUCUGUGCCAGCAGCCGCCGUAAAAC
rnacentral:rRNA from 1 species